CCCACGUAGUAACCGGGCACUCUCUUGCGCCAAUGGCGGACUUACACCCAGGAUCCGACCAACGUAACGGAGGCAUGUGACGCAUCUUGCGUAGGAGCUGCACAGAAUACAGGGCACCAUUUCCUUAAAUAAACCAAGCGAACCCACUGCACAUGCGCGCUCUGCAGAGGACGUUGUUAUCUCCUCGUCCCAUAAUCGCUCGCAGGUACCCAGCGGUGGAUGUACUGUAUUCUCCACGCAUCCAGGUGAAGAUGUCCUACAGUGCCAUGCUCGCCUUCCUUUCGGCCCUUCCUAUCUCUCUGGGUAUAAGAGAAGAAGCCCAGAUUGUGUGUGCUGGGAGGGAAUUCCGUCUGCCGGUUUACUCCUCAUCCAGAAUGGUGACUUUUACACCAAACCCCGAGGGGCCACGCCGCGUCCUGCUGGACAAAACCAUUGUGAAGGACCCGCGGUUUGAGUGGACCAGAGACAGGAUGCUGGUUCUGAGAGAAGUGACUCACGAUGAUGAGGGGCUUUACGCCAUCAAACUGGUCUCUGGAUUCACCUACGAGGCCGUUCGUUUGAUUGUUUCAGAAUGCAUCAAGUCCUACCACGGAAAAUACGGCGAUAAGUUUGAGCACAGCAUCCCCGAAAACGGCUCCCUGCUGGAGUUCUCUCCCCGGGGCGCUCCGCCGGAGGCCAUGCCGGUCCUUCUGUGGAACCGGACCGACCCCGUGACCAGCGAUGCCGGCC
ensembl:lncRNA